ensembl:lncRNA
GACGUCACGGGCGCCCGCCUGCCCUGCGCUCCACCGGGCAGAGCGUGCGCGGCCGCCGAGCACAUGGGCCCGCGGGCCGGCGGGCUCGGGGCGGCCUGGCCCGGGAGGAGCGGCGAGGGGGCGCCAGCAAGGAUGGGCCUCGGCACCCCCGGCCCCCGGCGAGUGGAUUUCCACGCGGGAAGGAGGUUGGCGGCGCCGGUGACCUUCGGAGACACGGCUGGAUCCACCUUCCAGCCUGAUCUUUUGACCAGAAAGAAAUUAAAAAGAUACCUGUCAUGCUGGCUGCGCCCGUCAGCUGCAUGCAGCUUCGUUCAAGGAUUUUUGGAGCCCUGUGGAUUUACAGUGAUACUCGGCCGCCUGGGGGAUCACGCUGGUGGACGCAUUCUCUGGAAUUAAGUAUCCCGGCACAUUUCUGGAUGCUGAAGGUGGUUUUAAGGAAGGCCCCGGCUGAGCACCUUGUGGAUCCCUGCAGCCUGGACGCCUGUGGGGGACAGAGGACUGAGCUCUCUGUCCUUCUCUCGGACUGAAAUGUUCGGUUGGGUCCCUGCCAGCUCCCUUGGGGGCUCCCUAUGAAACAAUCCUGUUACACCUGGGAUUUAGGUGCCUUCAAUCUGGAAAAAAUACAUAUCCGUUCAGCACUCCAGAGGGACUUCAGAGCUGUCCUUCCCUGAACUAAAGCUGGAGUAUUUUAGGAUUUGGAGAAUUAAGGUGAGGAAACUACUGCUCAGAGAUGUGAAAUAACUCAGCAGAGGUCACACAGCUAAUAAGUGACAAACAGGAAUGUCCAAGCAGUGAAGGUCAUUUCCAGUCGCCGAGUCUUUCACAAGCCCAUGUCUGGACCGGGACAUCUCAUGUCUCAUCGUGAGCAGGAGACUGGAAAAUAACUGGCCGGAGGGGAUAGGCCCAGCAGUAACACUGGCCCAGAGAGAAUUGAGUGCUUUUUCCCGGUGACAAGAAGACACACGCAGCUGGAAAAAGGAGCCUAGGCCGUCACCAUGUUCCCCAAAUAGCAGAACACCUCCCUCCUUCCCACCUUCUCUCCCGUGGCACAGAAUACGUUUUACCAGGGAUCGGUCACUGCUGAGCUGUCGUCACUUAAUGUGGCUUUGACAGAAUAGUUGGUCUGGAAAUCUUAUUUUCAAUUAAAUGACCUUAUUGAACUGCCUUGGUUUUGAAAAGAUUCCAUUAGGAUGGCUAAUUAUAUAGCAGUUGCUCCAAGGAGAUGCUGGCACUCCAUUUCAGCUCUUAAGUAAUUCGAAUCAAAUGCUGUCUUCUUUCCUCCUUGGAGCUGUGAGCGACCGUCUUCCUCUCACACUGCAGGCUUCUCGUGAGUUAUUUUUGGAAAUCCAAGUCAAAACAGCAAUUUUGGCAGAGGCCAUUUCUAGCCUAGCAGAGUAAACCGUAUGUACUGAUAAAAACAGCCGAAGAGUCAGUGCCUUUAAAAAGCAACUAAACCAUCUCCUUCUGUGGGGGUUAAAUUUGGGGGACCUCCAAACUGUCCUUUGUACUGUCCUAUUCCUUCGUGAGCUCUAACUGAAGUCAAAGACAUUGGAAUUCCUUUAAGAUUAGCAAAGCUUUGUCCGUUUGCAAACUGUCAUCAUGGUCAUUUUGUUUCAAGGUGGCAGGCCUUGGCAGAAUUUACCAGGCACUCUGUUUUGGCCUCUGGAUCUCCCCUGAAACGUGGAAAUCACUUUCUGUUCCCAUUCUGUGCUGUUUGCUUCUGUCACCAGAGCACUCGCGACAUUCCUCGCGACAUUCCUCGUUACGCAUACCAAGCAGUCAGAUCUUCCUGCUCACCCGUUAGAACGGAGCUUCUUGUGGCCAGGGGCUGUGUUUUUCAUCUUAUUUCCUUCCUGGCCCAUAAUAGAUGCUCAAAUAGUUGGAUGAAUAGAUAGACUAGAUAGAUGAAUGAAUAGAAUCCUAUUUCUAUUUUUCUCCUUUUUAAAAAAAAAAUCAAUCAUUUAUUACAUAAAUAGUAAAUGAAUGUUUUCACCUUGGGGGGAAAAAACAGUUUCCAAAUAAGGUUAAAGUCCUUUUUUUUUUUUCCAGUUUUCUUUUUUUUUAAAGAUUGGCACCUGAGCUAACAACUGUUGCCAAUCUUCCUUUUUCUUUUUUCCUGUUUUUUCUCCCCAAAUCCCCCCAAUACAUAGUUGUGUAUUUUAGUGGUGGGUCCUUCUAGUUGUGGCGUAUGGGACACCACCUCACUGUGGCCUGAUGAGCGGCGCCAUGUCUGUACUCAGGAUGCGAAUCAGUGAAACCCUGGGCCGCCGAAGCAGAGCACACGACCUUAACGACUUGGCCCCAGGGCCGGCGCCUGAAGUCCUUUUUUGAUCACUGCCCAUGAUCCUUGUUUCCCCAUCAUCUCUGCUUAGGUUAUCCCUUUGGAGCACAUCCUCACAGACCUCUCUAAUGCGUUUAUGUACACGCACAUACACACACACAGAGUACUGUUUUUGUAGACCUGUGAUAAAGAGAUUAUUCUGCAACUUGCCUUUUCCUACUCAGCAAUAUAUCAAGUGCUAUCCAUGUCAGCUACCUUAUUCUUUGUAACUGCUACAUAGUUUUAUUACGUUGUGUGGCUAUAAUACCUUUUAUGUGGACCAAAUAAAUAAAUUCCUUAUCUGUUUUCAUGCUCAUUAUAGUUCAGGAUCCCUUCUCCUGUAUAUGUUGACAAACUAACCCUGUCCACUGCUAUCUUUUGGUAGCUACAGUACAUUUCAUCAGAAUCAGCCAAUUGCCCUGGGGAUUUUGCUAAACCAGUAGACAGAAUCAUGAGAAAUGAAAUGAGGGUUGCCAGAGGGACCUGAAUUCCCUUCUCUGCAGAAGCUAGGGAAGUAGGUGCACUCUGCACUGGGAAUACCACAGGUCUGGAGAGCGAGGGAUGUUAGAUUUCCUCGGGCAGGUCAUUUCCUAUCCCUGGACCUUAUUUUUCUCAUCUGCCCAAUGGACUCAGUGAGCCUCUUUCAACUGUUAGACCCUGAAUAAUAGGGCUGACACAGUGCCACCAGAACGGAUAAACAGAAUAUAUUAACUCUCUCUCCGCUAUGUGGCGGGAUGGGAAAGGGGCACGUUAAAAAUACUUUUUACGGGCCGGCCCCGUCGCCGAAUGGUUAAGUUCAUGUGCUCUGCUUUGGUGGCCCAGGGUUUGGAUCCUGGGCGCGGACAUGGCACUGCUCAUUAGGCCAUGUUGAGGCAGCAUCCCACAUGCCACAACUAGAAGGACCCACAACUAAAAUAGACAACUAUGUACUGGGGGGAUUUGGGGAGAAAAAAAAAGCAGGGAAAAAAAUAGAUUGGCAACAGUUGUUAGCUCAGAUGCCAAUCUUUAAUUAAAAAAAUAUGUAUUUUAAUUAUAUUUUUAUUCUAUUUUAAUUAAGAUAAAUUUUAAAAUUUUAAAAUAGAGAUUCAGCCCAGAGCCCUUCACUGUGUUCAUGUCACAAAGAGUCUGUGAUUGGCCAGGAAUGCACUGCCUCUAGAUCUCACACUUCUCUCUUAUUCUUUUCUUAUCCAAUUAAAAUGUUUAUAUUUUUUCCUUUGCUUUGUGUGGUCUUUUUGUCCUAAGCAAGGCAAUCGGGUGUUGGGGAGAGAGAUUAUGGACUCCUGAGUUCGACCAUCAGGUUUGUCUAGUUCUAGCUGUGUGUUCUUAGACAAGUCACUAACCUUCUCUGGGUUUCCAUCUAUUAAUAUGGUGAUUCCAAAUUAGCCAAGUAUUCAGUAAAAAAAACAAAAACAAAAGGUAAAACCAGACUCGCUUGUGAAUGUUUCAUCUGGCAUUUAUGAACCUUGUCACCUGCGGAUAGAUCAUCUCGUGAAUUGAUGAGGCAUCCUAAGAGACCACCAAAACUCAUUAAAUAGUCUUGGUUCACAUGAGAACUGUGCAGCUGCUCUGGCCCCUGGUGACACACCAAGUGUCAGUGGGUUCUGAGGGAGGCCCAGGGAAGGUUCUGUGCUGCCAUGAUUCAUAGGUUGAGUUUCCCUCUAAGCUUCAAGGCUUUGAUCACGUGUCCCCUGCUUUGAGAUGCAGGACCACAAGGGUCACAGGAUCUGAUUCACACACUGGUGGGUUUCCCUUGGGGUCCCCAUCAGGCUUUCCCAUGUAGGGUGAGAGUUCUCGUCCCUUGUCUUGGCAUUACACAUUGAUCUGGAGACACCAUGGUUCUGCAGGUGAAAGGUUGGGGUGAAUGGGUGUGAAAAGUGCGUGGGAGUCACAGCCCCAAAAGGUCUCUGGGAGUUUGUCUUUCCUGCUCCCAACACUGUUUUGCAUCUCUACCGUGAGCUUCUGUUUCUGAGCACCCCUUGAGCUAAGCUGAUCUGUUGAGCCGAUCUGUGGAGGAAUGAGGCCACUGUGAGCUACCUGCCGGGGCAGGUGACCUCACCCCUCCCAGCCUCUGCUUCCCACCCCGCUGGGUCUUUAAUAUGAAAUGAGACUGCAGUAGGUGCUGAGCUCGCAUCACCUUCCCAUUCCGCUUUCUGAUAUGGAAAGCAUCAUUUUAUAGGCUCUGAAUCUGUGUUCUGAGCUUCCAAAAGCCUACUGUAAACAUUUUACACAUUAACCAAAAUAAAACAAGAAGGCAGCACAGUGAAUGGAGAGAAUAUUAUUAGCAUGUUACACAUCUUAAAUUGGUAAAAAAAAAAAAAAAAGGAAUGAUGGAUCAUUUUCAUUUACGACUCUCACUCCCUGCUAAUUUUUCAGCAGCUCUCUCCUCGUCUCAAUAAAAUGCUGGAAAUCUAGUUGGCAUUGUUGCAAGUAAAUGCAGAGCCAGUCUCGACUGUCGCGCUGUCUCUCCCUGUAUUUGAUCCUCAUCCAGGUGAUCGAUACCAUUUUCAUUCAUAAUCCGGAAACUUUAAGAAAUGAAUCAGCUUGACCUAUGAUUCACAGAUACUUGAUCUGAAAUACUUGAUGUGGUUGUGAGGGGGUGGGAGGUAGAGUCAGAAAUAAAUUCCGUUGACCCCGAAAGUCAGCUUAGGUGAACUAGUAUGGUGGGGGAGGGCGAAUUAUCAUCCUGUGGUUUGUGUGGAUGGUUCCUGCUCUCAGGGAGCUGCACUGUAUUGGGGGGACUUAAGGUGGCCACACAACCAGGGUUGAUGAAAGAAUUCCAGGUUAUGCCCGUUGCUGCAGCCUCUUAGACGGUUAACGUGCCCUUCCACUAGCAGAAGUGUCACAGUGUGGAAAUAGAGGGUUCUGAAGAGACUAGACUGGGAGUUCUUAAAGGUCAGAGGUCUCAUUUUAUUCAUAUGUGCAUCCCCAGCGCCUGGCCUCUCGUAAGCAGUUAAUAAAAGAAAGACUUGCUAGGUGGGUGAGUGAGAACGUAAGUAGAUUCUUCACCUCCACUCUCUGAAUUUGGUCUCUGAAUUUCUGUUUCCCGUUUAUCUUUGUGUGCUCGGGCCGCUAGGGUGCCUCUACUGCGUUUUGACUGAACCAGAGAUUUCAGAACUUCAGCUGGGAAUCGCUUUGGUUGCAUGUACACGCCCUGGUGACCUGUAGCUUCACGACUUGCGGUGCGUUAUCCAAAUGAGUUUAUAACUUACCGAAGUACUGAAAACAGUGGCUUCCAUGAUGUCUCCUCCCAAGAAAUGGUGGUGGAGGUGGAGGUGAUGCUAUUCUUGUUAGCUGUCUGUCUUUGCUGCCUCUUGUCUUUUCUCCCCUAGCUAGAGGAUUCAUAGACCUUUAAAUACAUAUGUAUUUCAAAAAUAUAAGAAAUUGGAAAAAGAGAGUCAGAAAGCUAUCCAUAAUGUCAUGACCCUUGGUUACAUAGUAGCAAUUAUUAUUAAUGUGUGACUUGUUUUAUACAAAGUUUUUUACAUAGUUGUUAUCUUAAGGAGUUUUCCACUUUUUCUUCCAUCUGUAUUUUUCUGCAAGCAUUGCCCAUGUUAUUUGAGAACCUAUUCAACUACCAUUUGUUACUUUUAUCCAUAUGGUUGCUGGUAGAUGGUUGUUUACUUUUUUCCCUUUCGUAAAAGAAAUUUUCCUUCUGGGCUGUCCUGUAUCUCAAGAAAAUCUCAAAAGUGAAAUUAUUGGAUCAAAAGAUAUGAAUGUUGUUAAAUUAUAUGUAUAUCUAUAUUUAAAUGAAUAGAAUUUAUUUUUUAGAGAAAUUUUAGGUUUACAAAAAAUUGCGUAGAAAGUACAGAGAGCUCCCACAUCCUAGCCCCACCCCCAUUCCCCAUAUUGUUAACAUCUUGCAUUAGUAGGGUGCAUUUGUUACAGUUCAUGAACCAAAACUGAUACUUAUGGCUAAAGUCCAUAGUUUACAUUUAGGAUUCUGUGUUAAAUGGUUCUUUGGGAUUUUCGCAAAUGCAUAAUGUCACGUAGCCACCAUUAUAGUAUCAUGCAAAAUGGUUUUACAGCCCUAAAAAUCCCCUGGGCCCCUGUUAAUCCCUCCCUCCCUCCCUCUCUCAAACCCUUCGCAACCAGUGAUCUUCCACUCUUUCCAUCGUUUUGCCUUUCCCAGAACGUCAUAUAGUUGGAAUCACACAGUAUGUAGGCUUUCAGACAGGCUUCCUUCACUUAGCAGUAUGCGUUUAAGAUUCCUCUCCGUGUCUUUUCAUGGCUUGAUGGUUCAUUUCUUUUUAGGGCUAAAUAGUAUUCCGUGUCUGGAUGUACUACACUUUAUCUGUUCACUUACUGAAGGACAUCUUCAUUACUUCUAAGUUUUGGCAAUUAUGAAUAAAGCUGCUAUAAAUAUUCGUCUGCAGGCUUUUGAGGGGACAUGUUUUCAACUCAUUUGGUUAGACACCAAGGAAAGUGAUUGCUGGAUCACAUGGUAAGACUAUUUCUGUAAGUAACUGCCAAAGCUUUCUAUUUUUUACGUUUAUUCAACAGAUUUUAGUUGUAAUACCAUGAACAUGGUUAAUCCUCCAUCUACACUUAGUGUUAUAAUGAACACCCUCUCCUCAGUCUUUUUUUGUGUGUGAGGAAGAUUGGCUCUGAGCUAACAUCUAUGCCAAUCUUCCUCUAUUUAUUUGGGAUGCUGCCACAGCAUGGCUUGACGAGCAGUGCUAGGUCCACGCCUGGGAUCCGAACCUGAGAACCCUGGGCCACCAAAGCAGAGCACAUGAACUUAACCACUAUGUCAACAGGCUGGCCCCCUCUCCUCACUUUUAAGCCUACCGCUACCAUGUCACACAGAGAUGCUCAGAGUGGUGUUUUCAUCUGGAUCCAAGUAUAUUGUGGCCACAAAGUCUCAUAGCAUAAAAAUAGCAACAACAACAAUAAUAAUCUUGAUGAUAAUAAUAGCCAAGAAUUAUUGAUUACUUAGCAUUGUCAGGCUCUUUACAUGUGUUAUUUCAUUUCACCAUUACAGCUACCCUCUGGUUAGGUACCAUUACUACCCACAAUUUGGAGAUAAGAUCGAGGCUUAGGGAGAGUGAAUAACUUGCACAAGUGUUAGUGGUAAAGCCAAGUGUGCGUCCAUCUAGUUUUGCUCGACUCUGCUCAGCAAUGUAUUAUGCCAGAGUUAAGAGCAUGAGAUUUAGAGUCAGAUGGACGUAGGUUAGUAUUCUGGACCUACCAUUUUGCCAGUCAUGUGAUCUUGACCUGGUGACUUCUAGCUGCAGUGUGCCCAUCUGUAAAAUGGGAUAAUAACACCUACCCAUGGCAAAUGCUGUCUGUUGUCUCCUCAAUAGCUAUGGCCUCCCCACCACACAGAACCAGGUUCAGGUGUUAGGGAAGAGGCCCCAGAUCUCAGGGAAGAGAGGCCCCAUCCCAGCCUCCUGAAAUGAAUCAAGAUUGGUUUAAGUCAGAUAUGGUAAUGGUGGGCAUGUUAUCUAGUUUUGUUGGGGUAAGCAUGCUAGGGAGGGGUUCUCUUCCCAAGUAAAAAGACAAAGCCCCCCAUAGGGGAAGCUCAUACUUAUCUUUUCUUCCUGCCUGGAUGUUGGGCAUGAUACCUGGAGGUGCAGCAGCCAUCUUGCAAGCCUAAGCUGACAAGCUAAUAGACUAAAAUGGUAGAGCAGAAAAGAUAGAAAGAGCCUAGGUCAUUGACAGCAUCGUUAAGCUGUUCGACCAGCCCAAGACAGAAGACUACCUCCACGCUUUUUGCUAUUGAAACAGUUCUUACUUGUUUAUGCCACCCCAAGCUGAGUUGUCUUCUCUUUGCAGCUGAGAGCAUUUCUAAUAGAUAAACAGUUUUCCACCAAAGCACAGGGUUGAGUAACUUAGUAUGAUGGUUGAGAGCCCAAAUUCUAGACUUGGAGUUCUGGGGUUUUAUUCCUAGUUCUUCCACCAACCAGCUGUGUGACCUGGACAAGUCACUGAGCUUCUCUGUGCCUCACUGUCCUCAUCUGUAAAAUUCCCAAUAAAUGUGUACUGGGAUCGAAUGAGGGAUAAUAGUGCUACUUACCUCCCAAGAUUAUUAUGAGCGUUCAUAAAAUGACUAAGUAUUUUAUAAAAUGACUAGAGCAUAGCCCGACACAUAGUAAGUGGUUAUACGCAUGUUUGUCAAAAAAAAAACAAUUAAAGAAAAGGAGUCACUAUUACUGGCUUCAGUUUGAACCCCGAUGUGAUCCUUGGGCCACAUGCAGUAUUCAAGCAGAAGCUUGACCCUUUCACUCCCCAGACUCAUGGAGCAUGAAGCUCCCACUAAAAUCUGUCUCAAAGCAGCAACAGGUGGUUUCUUUUUAACAGAAAAGAUUCCUUAGAGCAGGUUGACUUAAAACAGGAGGGGCUGUGAUAUCAAGGCGUGUCAGGGAGUGAAUGACCGAAAUACCCAAACUUGCCCAUGCAAAUGGCUCUGAGUCUCCCCUGACUGCCCUUUAGAAGGUUCUAGACUUCUGUGAACUCCUUUUUGAAAGGGUCUUUCCACCAGUGGCUUAUUCUUUUGAAUCUCCUUACACCUUUCUUGCUGGUGGCUGGUGGGUGGGAGUGGGGAGGAAGGGGUGACACCUGCCUGCGUUCGGGGCCCUUUUCCCUUGUGAGGGACGAGACCGCUGGCCAGUAUGUGAGGGAGCUGGCUGGACCUGGUCUCUCUCACUGUCUACUGCCCACAGUGCCAUCCUCUGUAAAGAGCAGAUUUGAAUUUGGGCAGCAACUCAGCAUUUUUUGGAAACCUAUCUCGUUUGUGAGCUUAAAGAUAGACGUGCCCAUUACCAAAUCCAGUGGAAUCUUCCUUCAAAAUAUAUGCCUGUUCCACUCCUCACCCUCGCCUCCAGAGACAGUCCACACCAGGCCACCUCCCCUUCUGCCUGGAUUACUGCCUCGUAACUGGCCUUCCCGUUUCUACCCUCCCCUUCCUUCUCCCUCAGCAGCCAGGGGACCCUUUAAAAAUGUCAACCAAAUCAUUGGACUCACCUGCUGAGAACCCUCCAAUGGAGUCCCAUCUCACUUGGAAUAAAGUCCUCAGUCCCUACUGUGCCCUACGAGGCCCUCCCUGCCACCCCCGCUCACUCUACUCUCCCCACUGGCCUGGCUGUCAGUCAAACAUACCUAAGCACAGGCUGGCCUCAGGGCCUUAGCACGGAAUGUUCCCCUUUUUCCCUCUAUACCUGCCUGGCUCAUUUCCUCACCUCAUUCAGAUCUCUGCUCAGAUGUCAACUCCCAGAGAGGCCUUCCCUGGUCACCCCCUCUAACACAGGUCCCCUCACCCCUCAUUUUCUGUCGUUAUCUAUAGUUCAUAGACUUGCUGACAUUAUUACAAAUUUGGUGACUUUCUGCCUUCCCCAUCAGAAUAUAAGCCCUACAAGGAAAGAGGCAUUGUUUUGUUCAUUCAGGUACCCACAGAACCCAGAACAUUCUGCAAUUGGUGCUCAGUAUAUAGUAAACUAGAUAAAGCCUUUUUUUGGACAGAAAUAAGGUCUGUCUGACAAAGUUCUAAGCCUGAUGUCUCUUGUGAACCUGCCAAGUUGACCCUGAAUCCACUUCCCGGAAAGCUCCAGAUACAUUCUGGAUGAUGGGAGCAACGCCGGACCAGUGUUGAACAUCCCAAAGCAAGUACUUUGAGAAUGAAAGUGUGGGAGCCUGGAUGACUCCUCCUGCAUUUGUCUAAAAAUCCUCCUUAGCACCUUUAGUUCCUUUUCUCCCUUCCUCUGCUCCUGGGCACCAGACAAGCAAUCCCAAAUGUGGUGUCUUUGCACCGGUCAGAUCAGAGUUCUCAUCUGGGGUGGUUUAAAAACAACAUGGCCCCAUUCCUUGACAUUCUCCCCUUUGAAAGAUGGGAUCUGGGUCCUUUCCUUGAGUGUUGUGAUGGCUUCAAGCAGUAGUCACACAAGGGCACGCAGCUCCUGCCUGGUUUCUUUGGGAUGCCAUUCUGGGGAAGUACUCAGACUCCGUGCUGAAGAAGCCACAUGUACAUGCCCUGGUCCAUGGUCUCAGCUGAGCUCGCAGCCAGCACCCAGCACUGGCCGACAGCCAUGCCGGCUGCCAUCUUGGAUGUUAGGACCAUUUGCACUUUCAAAUGACCACAGCCCAGUGACAUCUGACUACAGGGUCAUGAGAAACACCCAGCCAAGCCCUUCCCGAAUUCCUGACCAAAAACUCAUGAGUAACAUAAAACGAGUAUUGUUUUACAACGCUAAGUUUUGCAGUAACUUGUACUCAGGAAUAGUAACCAGGACGCCACCCUAACCCUUCCCUAUGGACUAAGCAAUCUUGAGCAAAUUUCCUUUAAUACUCUGGGCAUGAGAUUUCUCAUGUGUGAGUUUGGAGUGACAGUCUAUAUUUAUGUGGCUGUUGUUUAGAUCAAAAGCAAAUUUUGUCUCAAACCUAGCAAGGUUCCCAGCACAUCCUGCCUUUCCUCAAAUCUAAGAUGCCGUCCAUUAUACAACUCACACUUAACUUAUGUGCCACUAAGAAAGAAACAAAUGCUUUCUAUUAAACUACUGAAUGCCACUGGUUGUAGGACACACACCUGUCUGGGAGAUGUUGAAAUUUGCAAAGAUGUGUAUCUUAGGAUCUUUGAUUUAAAGAGAGAUUAACACAAUCAUCUAGUUAAGUACAGGCACAGAACAAGACCACCGAGAUUUGAGUUUGUGAGAAACGGGGAACUUAAAGCAAAUGUGUCUUUGUAUGAAAGUCUCUAAUUUGCUGUCCCAUUUUACACAAUAGAAUGCAAAGAUCAGUAGAGACAACCUUGUAGUUCAGGCAGAAAGCACCUUCCUCAGGCAGCUGUCAAAGGGUUAGAAUUCAAAUGACAUGGCAUCACAGUUAUUUAACAGAAAUGUAUCUUGCAGAAGAAAGGAAGUCAGAUCCCUAAGUGUGGCUGUGAGUAAUAGUUUUUCUUAGUGGAAACUCACCUCUAGUAAUUAGUAAUAGACCAACCCCCUUUUCUCUUUGGUUUUUGAAUCGUUUCUUUUUUAGAACAUUAACUAGUAGUUCCGUGAGAGAUGUCAGCCAGUGAGCAAAAGGGGUCUGGGCAGUGAGCAGGAUGGCAGGAGACCCAGGCCACAUCUAGUGGAGCAGAAACACAAAGAAGCAUCAGAGUGUCAGCAGACUUGAAGCUAAGCCUGAAUAUGGAGUGCCUCAUUUAGUCAGUUCAGCCACGCAGAGUGUUCCUAUGUUGGCCCUCAUUUGAAAUGUGAGCCCGCUUCAGGACCAGUGAAGUGGAAUGUCUUGCUCAAAGUUACAUAGCUUGGUUCAUUAGACAGAGAGCCUAUGCUCUUAGCCACAGUGCUGUGUGCAUCAAAAUGUUUGCAAAGACAUGGAAGUGGGUUCAUAUGAGACUCUAGCCGGCCCAGGACUCUCAGCACAGCUAUCUUUCCAGCCUUACCCAAACAGGGAAUUCCUUUUCAUACCUCCUUGCUUUUGCCAAAGGGAGUUUUCUACCAAUCAGUUUCUUCUUGCCUCCCCCUUUUCCUGGUGAAACCAAACCAUCCUUCAAGGCCCAGCUCAAAUGGGGCAUCUUAACCCUUGUUCCUACAGGGUGAUUCCUAGCUGCCCUGGACUCCCAGGGCAUUGUCCCCGGGGCCCCUUGGCUGGCCCUCCUGGUGGUGUUGGUGGUUUCUGUUGGUCACACCUAUGAGACUGGAAGUUUCCUGAGGCUCUGGAAUUAGACUGAGUCAGAAUCCCACCUCUACAACUUACAGCUUGUGUUCUUGGGCAAGUUUCUUAGCUUUCUGGGCUUUAAUUUUCUCAUCUACAAAAUGAGAAUAUCAACUUCCCAGGAUUGUCAUGAAAAUUGUGUGUUUGCUGAGAUGGCAUCGUGAGGGCUGAACACUGUUCUUAUGUGAGAGGCGCUUGCUCAGUCUCUGCGUGCGUCAUCUCCUUUCGUCUUCACGCCCACCCUCUGAGGUUGGUUCUUUUACCAUCAUGCCCAUUUACAGAUGAGGUGACACCGUAUGCUCAUGGCCCCACAGCCAGAAUGUGACAAAACUGGGCUCUAAUCUUACCUUUUAAAACUCGCCUCUCUUGACAGGAUCCCGGCGGAAACCUUCCAUGGACUGCAUUCUGAGGAGGUUUUGUCACGUACCAACCUCUUUAGAUGUGCUUUAAUUUGGGUCUUAAUUUCCAACUCAUUCUUAUCUAGGAGAUCUUUACCCUGAUUUGAAGGAAAAUGAUGCUGCAACCAGCUUAGUCUCAGUAGAAGGUUUACACACAGCAUGUGCCAAUAACAGGUACUUCCACCCUUGGGCUCUUCCGGGUGGUGACUUAUCAGCACCACAAUUGUCCAUUUAUAUUGUGAACCAAACACAUGGAUCAGACUAUUGGCCUUGAAAAGCUCAAGCACAGCCUUCAGUGAAAUUCAGUUUCCACUUCAUUCUUUAGUCCAAAGGUUGUGACAAUGGCAGUCUCCGUCUCCCUCGUAUGACUUGGCUGGUUGGGUUUCUCUCUGGUUGACUGUAUUCCUGGCCUCUUGGGGACCCUCUAAAAUGGCAGGCAGAGGAAAGGAGGCAUUUCUGUGUGCUGCCUUCAUUUGUUCCUCAAGGGGUUUCGGCUAAACUCCCUAAACAAAAUGAAUUUGAUUUUAUCUGCCAGAGAACAUUCUAAGUAAAAAGAUCAAGAGCCAUCACCCCAUUGAGCUCUCUCCCCACAUCUCGAGAAGGCUGGGCUCCUUGGAGUGGAGAGUGGGCUGGGACCCCAUUCUGGCAGCAUAGCGGAGAUCUUCCUGCCUCAGUGUGGAUCUGGUGAAUGCUGAGGGACUCAGGGUGGGCUCCGAGGUGGACUCAUUGUCCCAGCUCACUGUGCAGACAGGGCAGUAAGUGCCAGGCCUGGGACUGUGGCCGUAACCUUGGCCGGUGGUCGGCCUUUACUUUCAGCAGCAGCAGAGGGAUCGUAACUGUGGUAGAGAAGGAUGUCGAGGCAGAAAUUGUUGAGGAUCUACACUGUGUCAAGCACUGAGAGAGUUUCUUCAGAUAUUUGGGAUUUUGAACGUAUCUACUCUUCUAAUUUAUUUCCAUCGUCCUCAGAGAACAUGUUCUGUGUGAUUUCGCUCCUUUGAAAUGUAUUGAGAGUGAUCUCGUGGUUCAACAUAUGGCCUGUCUUGGGGAACGAUGCAUGUGAACUUGAAAAGAAUGUGUCCUCUACAGGUUUGGGGUGGCGUGUUCCAUAGACAUUGGUUGUGAAAGACCCAGGACUCCGCCUGGUACAGAACAAUCUUCACUCUGCGGCGCCCCCAGGGGAGGGCAAGUGGGAGACAUCCAUGUGGGUGAAGAGGCACGGCCAGCCCCCCAACCCCAGGUGGCAGACUCUAUGCCAACUUGUCCUCCAUGUGGCCCCCAUAAGAAGAAAGGCCAAGAACUCUAAAAAGACCUCUGAGGCCAAGAGAAAAUGUCCAGGGAUUUGCUCGACGGAGAGAAGCUGGCCCUUGGAGAUGAGGAGGGGUGUAUGUACGUAAGACUCUCUCUCCCCAGCUGCUCUCUCUCUUCUCCUCAGGCCUUCAGCAAACAUUUAUCAGAGACUUGCUCUUCCUGGUAGCUGUUCUAUGUGUGGGGAUGUAAGGAUCAACAUUGCCCCUGUCCUCCCAGAAUUUUCAGGCCACCGGGAAUACAGAAGGACAGAACGACAAGCCCCCGGAUUCCUAAGCCCCAACGAGAGGACCAUUCAGGAACCACUGAAGGCUGAGUUCACCAAGGUGCCACCUCCUGCCCGUCCAGCUCCAUCUCCAGCUUGGGGCUUUGCCAGCUGCUCACUCUACUGCGUUGCUCCCCAUGGGGCAUAGAAUUGGGUCCCCCAAAGAGACACAUUCAAGUCUCAACCUGUGGCACCUAAGAAUGUGACCUCAUUUGGAACUAGGGGUUUUGCAGAUGUCGUCCAGUUCAGAAGAGGUCAUACUGGAUUAGGGUGGCCUCUAAACCCAUGACCAGUGUCCUCAUAAGAAGGACAUGGACACACAGCGGAGUGGGCUGUGUGAAGAUGGAGGCGGAGAAUGGAAUGGUACUCUACAAACCAUGGAAUGCCAAAGAUGGCUGACCAACCGCCAGGGGCUAGAAGAGGCAAGGAAGGAGCUUACCCACAGGUUCGGUGGGAGCACGGCCCGCCGACACCUUGAUCUCUGGCCUCCAGACCUGUGAGAGAAUAAACCUGUGUUGUUUUAAGCCAUGUGGUUUGCGGUACUUUGUUACGGCAGCCCUGGGAAACGCAUCCACCUCUCUUUCAUCCUUUGGUUCUCACCCUAAAUGCCACCUCCUUGAAGGGCUUUCCUGGACUCCCAAUCAUAGCUAGUUAUUUUACUAGUUCUCUACCCAUCGCUUAUUACCACGUGAGAUUCUCUUUUGAAAGCUUCCCCUGACAGACUGUAAGCCCUCUGCCGUCUCCGUGCUGUUCGCGGUGUGUCCCCACUCGGGCAGAAUACCUGCACACACCGACGGAGCAAUAAAUACGUGUUGGAUGGAGGCAUCGCAGUCCAGCGAGAAUCUUCCACACUUGCACAUUCCGUGUAUCAACAUCUGUGUCAUAAGAUCCCCAGUCAGAAGGUUGCCUUGGUGCUUCGCCUACAAAUCCUGAAAAUACAAUUAUUCAAAUUGAGUCGCUCAACCCAUGUCACCUCGCAGUCAGAGAGAUAGGAGGAUCUUUGAGGACUUUCCAAGCCAGGGUCCAUUCUUACUAGUUAGGCUGAACGUGUUUUCCUGCUAAGAAUAGGAACCAGAAAUGAGUAUUACCCAAGUGAUUAGAAAGAUCUUAAAUAGAAAAAGAAAAAACUCCAAAAAUGUAAGUCCGCUCACCCUUACCCUCCUUCUCAACGUCUGCUCCCUGCCUCCCAUCCUUGGGACCUCCCAAUCUUGUCUCCUGGGUCAUGACAAAUGGUGGCCCCAUUUUGGACCGCUCCACAUUCUGUUGUGUUGCUCCUUCUCCAGAUUUAGAUGGAGAUGUCUUUUAGGUGCUUUUAGAUGAUUCUAGAAUUGACAUCUCCCCUGAGACUUAUCUGUCACAUGGUAUGUAGGUUUGGCCUCUGAUGGAUUCAGAAUGACUUUUAUUGUGGACCUAAUGCAUACUGGCUUUUACACUAGGUGGUUUUACAGUCUGCAGCUUCUUUUUCAUUAAAUCUGUUUCACAUCUAUGUUCACUAUGAAGUGAUCUCCCUUCAGAGCUAUUUUACUGAUGAGGAAACUGAAACUCAGAGAGGUUGAGAAAUUUGCCUAAGAUCACACAGCCAAUAAUUGGUAGAACCCUUUUCAAACCUAGGUCUGUCUGACUUCAAUGCUAAUGUCUUUUUCUCUAAAUUUUACAACUGAAAAAAGCAGCCCUAACUAGAAAUUGCCUUAUUAGUAGCAAGGGGCUUUAUUUUAUAAGGAUUCAGCUAUGCUUGGCACUGCCCUGUCAGUGGUUAUCUACUAGCCUGUUGGGAGGGGUUUUGACUGUUGGAUUUAUGGACCCGGGACACUUGGUAUGUGCUCAGGACACUGCACAGACCUGGCAAGCACUCUGGCUGGGGGUCAUCUUCUCCUGGGACUGUGCUUUCUGACUCUGGGACAUUAGUCUAGCCACUUCUCUCCUCCAGCCUCAGUUUCCCCAACCACAAAAUUAGGACUCAGAUUCGAUGAUCUCCAUGUUGCUGUCCUGUCCUGAUAAUCUAGCAUUUUGGCAUCCUGGGGCUAUAACUACCAGUGCUUCCAUGCCCCACAAACUCAAGACUUCCCAUUAUGUCUGGAGUCCAUGGCCUACACCAAAAUGUCCAAGGCACCCAUGCAGGUCCCUCUGUCAGAGGCCCUGCCUUACCCAUCUCUCCCAUGCCAUCAGCACACAUCGUCUCCUCUCUUGGAGUCAGUCCUGCUGGUGGCCCUGGGGCAAGUUUCUUAACGUCUCUGAACUUCCAUAUUCUCCUCUCUGAAAUGAUCUCAAAUAAGCGUAAAAACCCACCUCAUCGGCUCAUUGUGAGGGUUACGUGAAAUAAAACAAUAACCAUUGUUCACUUUCUAGGGGCCUUGAAGUGUGCGGAGUCUUGGCCCAGAAGCGCACACUCUGGAGCCAGAUGGAUGUGUUCAAAUCUUGGCUACGCCACUGACUCACUUACCAGUUGUGUGGGUUUGGGCAAGUUGCUUUACUUCUCUGUGCCUCAGUUUCUUCUUUUGUAAAGCAGGAACAGUACCAACCUACCUCUGGGCUUGUUAUGGGGUUUAAAUGAGUUCGUAUUUGUAAGACACAUAAAAUAGUGAGAGGCACAGAGCAAGUGCCAUGUGAAGAGUUAGAAAUUAUUAUUAGUUCCUCUAAUUCUCAAAUCAGCCUGACGUGGGGUUCUGUCACUAUCCUCAUUUUAUAAAUGGGGAAGAUCAGUAACUUGGCCAAGGCCUUGAACCCACACUGGCCGGCAGGGUCUCAACCUUCAGCCUCACUGACUAACAGAAAGGAGGAGGAUCCAUGCUUGGGGUUUAAUGGUCUGCCAUAGCCAUCUUGAAAUUCUUAAUAAUUUUAUCUUUGAAUCUGUGCUUUGUAAGUGAAGUCCUGCUUCCCGUCCAGUCUCGCCUCCCGAGAUGAGUUCCAGGCUGGCCCCUCCCCUGCCCUUGCCACACCCAGCAUCUGCCCUCAGUCCUGGUGGGGACCUGGGCACAGGCGUGGGGAGGGGCAGGGUCGAGGGGCAGGGCCGUGAGUGGCCGUGAGGGGCAGCACUCACUGGCGAGCAUCCCUGGGCCAGAGGGAGCACAACAUUAAAUAGCAAAUCAAAAAAACCCACAACAGAUGAAAAUAGAGGUCAUGGAAUAAAGUAAAAAGCUCUUUUCCUUCCUCUUUGAACAAGAGGCCCCGUGUUUUCACUUUGCACGGGUGGGCCAGCCCUGGGUCCAGAGCAUGUCACGGUAUAAAUGAAAUGAUAGCUCCCUUCCCCUUCAGAAGAAAACCAGAAAUGCUUAUUCGGGGUUCAGUCACGCAGUGCAGUCUGUUUUGAGUUUUGGUUCGUAGGUAGAGACAGUGUUUUGAAAAAGGGCGGAAAGGUGGCACUUUAGCCACUUCCCACAAAGAUGUCUUCUCCAAGGCCUCCUAAGGCCUUUCUGUGAUUUGCAUGCAAAAAUGUGGGCCAUUUCCCAACCAGCAGCCCUGUUUGGUGGCAGAUAAUA